GCAAUGCCGCGUGUGUGAAGAAGGCCUUCGGGUUGUAAAGCACUUUUGUCCGGAAAGAAAUCCUUGGCUCUAAUACAGUCGGGGGAUGACGGUACCGGAAGAAUAAGCACCGGCUAACUACGUGCCAGCAGCCGCGGUAAUACGUAGGGUGCGAGCGUUAAUCGGAAUUACUGGGCGUAAAGCGUGCGCAGGCGGUUUGCUAAGACCGAUGUGAAAUCCCCGGGCUCAACCUGGGAACUGCAUUGGUGACUGGCAGGCUAGAGUAUGGCAGAGGGGGGUAGAAUUCCACGUGUAGCAGUGAAAUGCGUAGAGAUGUGGAGGAAUACCGAUGGCGAAGGCAGCCCCCUGGGCCAAUACUGACGCUCAUGCACGAAAGCGUGGGGAGCAAACAGGAUUAGAUACCCUGGUAGUCCACGCCCUAAACGAUGUCAACUAGUUGUUGGGGAUUCAUUUCCUUAGUAACGUAGCUAACGCGUGAAGUUGACCGCCUGGGGAGUACGGUCGCAAGAUUAAAACUCAAAGGAAUUGACGGGGACCCGCACAAGCGGUGGAUGAUGUGGAUUAAUUCGAUGCAACGCGAAAAACCUUACCUACCCUUGACAUGGUCGGAAUCCUGCU
rnacentral:rRNA from 1 species